ensembl:lncRNA
GAGGUUGGGCUUGGCCAUGCGGCUCACUUUAGCCUACAGAGUGUGGGCAGGUGUGACUGUAUGCCAGUUCCUAGACUAGGCUGUAAAAGACUGCUUUCAUUGCCUCUUGCACUUCUGUCAUUGCCAUAAGAAAAAAUGACAGCAGAUCUCUGAAGGAUAAGAACACUGUUAGCUUGGAGUUAGGUUUGGUGGAAACAAGCCUAGAUCAGUGAAAUUCCAGCGAACCUGUGGAUAUGCAAGUGAGAAUACAUAAUUGUUAUGUUACUGAGUUUAGGGAUUGUUUAUCAUGCAACAUCGACUGACCAAUUCAAGUAGUGGCGAGUGAGAAAGACAUGAUCUUUGCCCUCAUGGAGUUUAUAGCCUGAGGGGGUUAGGCAGACAUUAAAUCAAUAAUUAUAUAGACAAUUUUCAAAAAUGUAAUUGUGAUCAGUAGUCAUGAAGGAAGUCUAUACGAAUCUAGAGUGCUGGCAGAGUGUGGAACAGAAGCACCCAGCCAAGUUUAUCUUUAAUUUAUCUAUAAUUAUCUGCAGCUAAUUAUACUCCCAAAUUCUCUCACAUAGUUAAUGCUGUUGCAUUAGUAUGGACCUUGUAAGCCACCUUAACUCUAAGAAACUAAUCAACCAAAAUGUAUUAAUAGGUAUUUAUGAUGUACACAGAUCCAUGGUGGGGCUAUGGAACAUUCUGGAAGCCUGAGACUCAACACGUUCUCAAGCUACUGGGGGUGGGGGAAGCAAUAUACAAACACAAUACAAGCUAAUCAACGAUAUGAAGUGGCACACUGUCAGUCUGAGAGUGGCCUUGAUGAGCAAGUGAGGUGUACAUCACUGUGGCCUGCUUCUGUUCUCCUCCUCUACCAGAAGAAGAGAACCCUAAUACACCUGCCAAGAGGCCCACAAAGUGGUUGCUCAGUGCGGAAGACAGGGAAAAUGAGAGCAGUCUCAGAAAUAGAUGCAGUUGGAAGAAAGCAGUGCAGUUGUCUCCGGAAUACAGACAGCAGAGAGUUCCAGUUCCCAGAAAGCUCUUCUCUGUUCUCCCUGAUGAUGACUGAUGUUGGAAAUGAGAAGCCAAGACAUGGCAAAGCCACAAAGUGGCUUCUGAAUCAACCAUGGAGCCAGCAUUAACUGCAUUACAGGAUGCUCUGAUUCUCUGAGAGUCAACCAUCUUUGCCUGGUUAUAUUUUAUCUGGUAAGUCAAUUAAGUAGCAUUUAAACAGAAUGCAGCAUUCUCUAGCCCAGUACUUGCAAAUUGGCAGCCCAAUUGUUAAAAAUUGAGCUAGUUGCCAACUUUUAAAAACAGAACAAUUUCACAUAAUAUUCAGAUUUCUUGCAUCUCUAAUAAUCAAAUGACCUGGUAAUGUUGGACCCACAUCUCCAAAUGGUGACAAUUGGCUGGUACUAAGUAGCUGCUGCUCCUGUUGUAUGUGGCAGGGACUAUAACAUUAGCCACAGGACCUACUCAGCUAUUUUACCAUUUAUAUUACUUGCCUGGCCCCUGUCAUCAUCUGGGUUGACAACCCUUAGAUUAACUGGUAUGAUAAACAUGACUUUACCAUAUGGCAAAAUAGUUUAGGAUUAUGACUUAUAGCAACCAUCUUUCUGCCAAUAAUUUGAAAUGUAUUUGUUUAUUGUUCAGGAAAUGGUAAUUGGAUAGCUGCUAUGUGCAUUGUACUGUGCUAAGUAUUGUGGUGAUACAAAGAUGAAUCCUGGCCAGGUGCUGCGACUCACACCUUUAAUCUCAGCACUUUGGGAGGCCGAGGUGGGUGGAUCACCUGAGUUCAGGAGUUUGAGACCAGCCUGGGCAACAUGACGAAACCCCAUCUCUACAAAAAAUAUAAAAAUUAGCUGGGCAUGGUGGCAUGUACCUGUAGUCCCAGCUACUCAGGACACUGAGGCAGGAGAAUCACUUGAACCCAGGAGGCAGGGGUUGUAGUAAACCAGGAUUGUGCCAUUGCACUCCAGCCUGGGCGACAGAGCAAGACCCUGUCUCAAAAAAACCAACCAACCAACCAAGGAACCAGCCAACUAAACAACAAUCAAAAAAAAAAGAAAAAACAAAAACAAAAACAAACCACGAAAAAAAGAUGAAUCCUGCUCUAAGAAGUCCUCUUACUAACCAGGGUGCAUACUCAACACACAACUCUGCACAAGUUUUUAUAUCUCUUCUCUGUGCCACACUUUCCAUAGCUGCUUUUAUUUCCUUUUCACUUUGAUUCCCUGUUCUCUGUACAUGAAGAUGUCGAUGAUCGUAACUUGAAGAUGCAAGGACAGAAUUUAACAUUUACAAAGUGUUUUCUCCUUUAACUC